GACGAACGCNGGCGGCGUGCUUAACACAUGCAAGUCGAACGAAGAGCGAUGGAAGCUUGCUUCUAUCAAUCUUAGUGGCGAACGGGUGAGUAACGCGUAAUCAACCUGCCCUUCAGAGGGGGACAACAGUUGGAAACGACUGCUAAUACCGCAUACGAUCUAAUCUCGGCAUCGAGGAUAGAUGAAAGGUGGCCUCUAUGUAUAAGCUAUCACUGAAGGAGGGGAUUGCGUCUGAUUAGCUAGUUGGAGGGGUAACGGCCCACCAAGGCGAUGAUCAGUAGCCGGUCUGCGAGGAUGAACGGCCACAUUGGGACUGAGACACGGCCCAGACUCCUACGGGAGGCAGCAGUGGGGAAUCUUCCGCAAUGGACGAAAGUCUGACGGAGCAACGCCGCGUGAGUGAUGACGGCCUUCGGGUUGUAAAGCUCUGUUAAUCGGGACGAAAGGCCUUCUUGCGAAUAGNGAGAAGGAUGACG
rnacentral:rRNA from 1 species